rnacentral:rRNA from 1 species
AUUGAACGCUGGCGGAAUGCUUUACACAUGCAAGUCGAGCGGCAGCGCGGGGCAACCUGGCGGCGAGCGGCGAACGGGUGAGUAAUGCAUCGGAACAUGUCCAUUCGUGGGGGAUAGCCCGGCGAAAGCCGGAUUAAUACCGCAUACGCCCUGAGGGGAAAGUGGGGACCGCAAGGCCUCACGCGAUUGGGUUGGCCGAUGUCCGAUUAGCUAGUUGGCGGGGUAAAGGCCCACCAAGGCGAUGAUCGGUAGCUGGUCUGAGAGGAUGAUCAGCCACACUGGGACUGAGACACGGGCCCAGACUCCUACGGGAGGCAGCAGUGGGGAAUUUUGGAC